AUUUAAAAAGUUUAAUAAAAAUAUAAAUUUGUGGCAUUUAUGAUAUCAAUUUAGAUUUUAAAUA
rnacentral:tRNA from 1 species